rnacentral:rRNA from 1 species
GACGAACGCUGGCGGCGCGCUUAACACAUGCAAGUCGAGCGAGAACCGGAGCUUCGGCUCCGGGGACAGCGGCGAACGGGUGAGUAACACGUGGAUAACCUGCCCUCGGCACCGGGAUAGCCCGGGGAAACCCGGAUUAAUACCGGAUGGCCCUUCCGACUCUCGAGUCGGUCGGAAAAGGUAGCUUCGGCCUCCGGCCGAGGAUGGGUCCGCGGCGGAUUAGCUUGUUGGUGGGGUAACGGCCUACCAAGGCGACGAUCCGUAGCUGGUCUGAGAGGACGAUCAGCCACACUGGGACUGAGACACGGCCCAGACUCCUACGGGAGGCAGCAGUGGGGAAUCUUGCGCAAUGGGCGAAAGCCUGACGCAGCGACGCCGCGUGAGGGAAGAAGGCCUUCGGGUUGUAAACCUCUUUCAGGAGGGACGAAGCUACUCGGGUUAAUAGCCCAGAGGGUGACGGUACCUCCAGAAGAAGCCCCGGCUAACUACGUG